AUUGAACGCUGGCGGCAGGCCUAACACAUGCAAGUCGAACGAGUGGCGGACGGGUGAGUAAUGUCUGGGAAACUGCCUGAUGGCGGGGGAUAACUACUGGAAACGGUAGCUAAUACCGCAUACCCUCAGAUGUGCCCAGAUGGGAUUAGCUAGUUGGUGGGGUAACGGCUCACCAAGGUGACGUUCCCUAGCUGGGCUGAGAGGAUGACCGACCACACUGUGACUGAGACACGGGCCAGACUCCUACGGAAGGCAGCAGUGGGGAAUAUUGCACGAUGGGGGCAAGCCUGAUGCAGCCAUGCCGCGUGUAUGAAGAAGGCCUUCGGGUGGUAAAGUACUUUCAGCGGGGAGGCGUUACCCGCAGAAGAAGCACCGGCGAACUCCGUGCCAGCCGCCGCGGUAAUUC
rnacentral:rRNA from 1 species